GUGCUCACUUCGACAGCACACAUACUAAAAUUGGAACAAUACAGAGAAGAUUAAUACGGCCCCUGUAUAAGGAUGACGUGCAAAUUCGUGAAGUUUUCCAUAUAAAG